UACGUAGGGAGCAAGCGUUGUCCGGAAUUACUGGGUGUAAAGCGCACGCAGGCGGUCUUGUAAGUUUGACGUGAAAGCUCCCGGCUUAACUGGGAGAGGUCGUUGAAGACUGCAAGACUUGAGGAAAUGAGAGGGGUGUAGAAUUCCCGGUGUAGUGGUGGAAUGCGUAGAUAUCGGGGGGAAUACCAGUGGCGAAAGCGGCACCCUAGCAUUUUUCUGACGCUCAUGUGCGAAAGCGUGGGGAGCGAACGGG
rnacentral:rRNA from 1 species